CCCUUUCAUCUGUUGUUACUUGUUACCAUAUUUUUAAAUAACAGAUAGUGGUGUAGCAGUCGCUAGUAGUAGUAUAUCGAUUUUGCGGUAUUAUAGCGGUUUAAAACUAUGAUUCAAACCUCUUCAAAAUUAAGAUAUAUAGUAUGGAACAUGAAAGUUCAAAUAGUAUAUGAGUAUCAAAAUAGCUGAUUUUAAUUUUCUAAGAUUGUGUCACAUCAUCAUCUUCUUCUGAUGGCGCUAGAUCCCGAAUCUCCCUCAUUAGAUAUUCACUAGUUGUCAAACACUCUUCAUUAUCCCUUCGUCGUAUUUGAUUCCUUGUUACACGACCAACAUGCUCAUCUAAUCCAGCAUUCCUUGCCACCGUCGACCAUAUCAAUCCUCUUCUCCAUAAACGAACUCGUUAGAGGCUCUCUGUAACAGCGAUGAUCGGCCGGCGGCAGAGAUCGGCGUUGUUGGACGGAGGGUUGGAACGCAAGGAGGAAUUUCCCCGAAGGGCCGAUGGGAAAAGAUAGAAAAUCCUGGAGGAUCCUAAGGUUGAAGAGAGAGUAGUUUGUUU
rnacentral:lncRNA from 1 species